GUGAAUCAUCAAAUUUUUGAACGCAAAUUGCGCUUCCUGGUAUUCCGGGAAGUAUGCCUGCUUGAGGGUCAGUAUUAACAAAAAAUCGGUUUGGUUGCAAAUUGUGACGAUCCCGGGGUUUGGGUUAUAUUAACUUUUUUGGUUAAGGGGUUUCAAAUUGAAUUUUUUUGUGCAUUUUUAGACGUAAAUAAAUUUUUUUUUAUUCGUGUAUUUUUAAUGCCAAAAUCUUUUUUGAUGUGAUCUA
rnacentral:misc_RNA from 1 species